CACGGGCCAACGGCCGAGGGAGCCCGUGCGUGCCGCGCGCUCGCUCAAAGGCCUCCUCCGUGCACCGUGCGGCAGCGAGCCCUGCGACUGCGACGCCCCCUAAUUCCCCAGCACGCCCGCGCCGCGGUUUCAUGGCCUGGUGUGCCCUGCGCAGCCGCGUCCUUCCGCUCCCGGCCUCCGCCGCCACCGCCGCGCCCCACGGCCUGCUCCUACGCUUCUUCCUCUCCACCGCGGCCCCGCGCCACGCGCACCACCACCGGCGCCGCCGCCUCGCCCCCACGGCCUACGCCGCCGCCGCGGCAGCUGCGGCUGAGGCGCCGCUCCCCAUGACGCCGCGCUUCGGCCGGGCCACGCGGCACCCCGGGGCCGUCGCCUCCGUGGCGCGCGUCUACGCCGACGCCAACGCCCAGCGGCCCAAGGAGUACUGGGACUACGAGUCGCUUGACAUCCAGUGGGGGGAGCAGGAUGGGUACGAGGUGCUGAGGAAAGUGGGAAAGGGGAAGUACAGCGAGGUGUUCGAAGGCUACCGGGCUGGGAGCGACGAGAGAUGCGUCAUUAAGAUCCUCAAGCCUGUGAAGAAGAAGAAGAUAAAGAGGGAAAUAAAGAUACUUCAGAACUUAUAUGGAGGGCCUAACAUUGUAAAGCUACUUGAUGUUGUCAGAGAUGAUGAAUCAAAGACGCCUAGUUUGAUCUUUGAACAUGUCAACAACACUGACUUCAAAGUGCUCUACCCUGUGUUAUCUGAUUAUGAUAUCAGAUAUUAUAUUUUUGAAUUAUUAAAGGCACUAGAUUAUUGUCAUUCACGAGGUAUAAUGCACCGAGAUGUCAAACCCCACAAUGUCAUGAUUGACCAUGAAAAACGCCAGCUUCGUCUUAUUGAUUGGGGUCUUGCAGAGUUCUAUCAUCCCAAGAUGGAAUAUAAUGCUAGAGUUGCUUCAAGAUGCUACAAGGGUCCUGAACUACUUGUGGAUUUGUUAGAUUAUGAUUACUCAUUGGAUUUGUGGAGCCUUGGUUGCAUGUUCGCAGCAAUGAUAUUCCGAGUGGACCCUUUCUUUAGUGGCCAGGAUAAUUAUGAUCAAUUAGUGAAAAUAGCUGAGGUAAGUUUGAAGCUGCUCUGUGUUGAAAUGUCUUGUCAUCGUGUUUUUCUGUAUCACUUAAUCUAGUGCUUUAAAUGGACUGAGUUCACUUGAUUAUGUAUUCAGUUGUUGCAUUAAUUAAUUUAAUUAAUCUAUUUAAACAGCUCAAAUUAAUUGGUUCAUGUGACAUUAUUGUUUGCAUCUGCUAUGUCAGCUCUAGAGUCAUCCUAGAGUUGUUAAUGGCAAGUUCAUAUGUUAUUUUGACAUCUUUUAUUUGGACCUUAAUAGCAUACUGUCAUAGCCUUGGUUGUACCGAAAGUUGACUGAAUGUAAACUUUCUAAAACUAGCUUAUUGUGUAUUGUUGAUUUAUGGAUACUGACAUAUCAGUGGCAUGCAUCACCCUGUAUAUUUACUGCAAAGUUUAUAUAUUUUUAAACUAUUAAGUGUAUUCUACUGGUCCAAUUUUCAUUGGUGAUGGCUAGAGUAUUACAAAAAAUGUCUAGAUGUUGCUGUAUCUUCUAUGUACUACCUUUGUGUUCAUUGCCAUUAUUGCAUCAUCUCCUUGUGUUACUUUUGAGUUCAUUGUGAUUGGCUACCAUAUCUUGUAUAUGUGGUGCACCACAGUUGCAGUUGUGAUAUUGAAUACACCCUAAAGAUCCUAAACCAAGCUUGUCAAUUCCAUUCCUGUUUAGCAUUUGGAAUGAUAUGUUCCGGUACCGGUGCAUUCCGGCGUACCAUUCUGGAUUUUAUUAUUUUAUAGAUAUUCAAUAUUGUAUAUGGACUACAUAAGUAGCUAAAAAAACUGAUAAGAACAUAUAAAUAAAAGAAACAGAUGACAGGUUAGUUGCAUGUUGAGCUGAUCUAACUCUAACAUAUGAUGGGCCUGUGCUCUAACCCAAUUCAGCAAACCUUCCAACUGAAUUCCUAAAGCCAUGGAGUAGGGAAUAGCAUGCUAGGUGUAUAAUCACUGAGAAAAAUCAAGUCAAAGGAGAGUAUGCUACUAUGAAAUCAGGUGAAGGAAGAGCAUUCUGCAUGCUACUGUCAGGUGAGGGAAAGAGCAUACUACUUUCUUGUCUCUGUAUUCCAGCACUUGUCACAGUGUAAGCUAGGAGACCUGCGUACCAGCGCUUGGCCUGGGCACCCGUGUGAGCGUGCUGGCAGGGAGCGUGACUGACCGGUACUGGCUUGAGUGGAACAUCAGUUCCGCCUGGAAUGGCCGAAAAGAACCGAGAUGGCUGGUAUUUUUAAUGGUACCGGAUGGGAGUGGCUGUGUACCAGCUGACGCAACGGUUCUUGGCACAGGAGAUUUGUAUAACUACCUUGAAAAAUAUGGCCUCCAGCUUGACCCACAGCUUGAAAGACUUGUUGGAAG